GGAAAACAUAACUUUUUGUUUUGUUAUAAAGAAAUAGUGGAAAACAAUUUAAAAAUAUUUUUGAAAAACUGGAAAGUUAGUUUUUAAGUUCUUUAUUUAGAAAACUGGUAUACAUAUAACUCUUUUUUCAGUUUUCUUAGAAAACUUUUUCAAAAAAAUUACUUCAGUUUUCUAGGCCUGGGGAUAACAUUGCCAUUUGCCACCUAGUUUAGACUCACUUUCUUCUGUGAAUAAGGGGAGAAUUUCUAAGUUGAUUUCGUCUGUGAGGAAGCAUAAUCAAUAUGAUACUUUAAUCUAUUGUGAUUUUCCUGUCAUGUCUCCUUGCAUUUUUACUUUGUGCUCGUCAACAGUUGUUGAGAGUUCCACCCAUCUUUUGGUCAAAUAAUUAGCUGGAAAAAUUCUGCUCGUUUCUUUCUAUCUUAGCAUUGGGAGGUAGCACCGAAUGAAGUUUGAUUGUGAAGAAC
rnacentral:misc_RNA from 1 species